rnacentral:rRNA from 1 species
UGCAGGGUAUAGACCCGAAACCCGGUGAUCUAGCCAUGGGCAGGUUGAAGGUUGGGUAACACUAACUGGAGGACCGAACCGACUAAUGUUGAAAAAUUAGCGGAUGACCUGUGGCUGGGGGUGAAAGGCCAAUCAAACCGGGAGAUAGCUGGUUCUCCCCGAAAGCUAUUUAGGUAGCGCCUCGUGAACUCAUCUCCGGGGGUAGAGCACUGUUUCGGCUAGGGGGCCAUCCCGGCUUACCAACCCGAUGCAAACUGCGAAUACCGGAGAAUGUUAUCACGGGAGACACACGGCGGGUGCUAACGUCCGUCGUGAAGAGGGAAACAACCCAGACCGCCAGCUAAGGUCCCAAAGUCAUGGUUAAGUGGGAAACGAUGUGGGAAGGCCCAGACAGCCAGGAUGUUGGCUUAGAAGCAGCCAUCAUUUAAAGAAAGCGUAAUAGCUCACUGGUCGAGUCGGCCUGCGCGGAAGAUGUAACGGGGCUAAACCAU